UAUUUGUAUCCCUCCCUCCAGCUGAAGGUGAAGCGGGUCCAAGUCAAGUGUGUGAGCCGUGUCCUGUCUCUUAGUCCAAAAAUGUCACCCAGUGGACUUUUAACCAUGCGCGCUCAGAUGUGUAAACGCCUGGCUCACAGGUACCUCUCAAGAACCUAUGCAUCUCAACCGGCACUCAAUGAAGUUGUUAUUGUCAGUGCGGUCCGCACUCCAAUUGGCUCCUUCAGAAGCAGCCUGGCAGCACUACCAGCCACCAAACUGGGCUCCAUUGCCAUCAAGGGAGCCAUAGACAAAGCA